UACGAAGGGGGCUAGCGUUGUUCGGAAUCACUGGGCGUAAAGCGCGCGUAGGCGGGUCGUUAAGUCGGGGGUGAAAUCCUGAGGCUCAACCUCAGAACUGCCUUCGAUACUGGCGGCCUAGAGUCCGGGAGAGGUGAGUGGAACUCCUAGUGUAGAGGUGAAAUUCGUAGAUAUUAGGAAGAACACCAGUGGCGAAGGCGGCUCACUGGCCCGGUACUGACGCUGAUGUGCGAAAGCGUGGGGAGCAAACAGG
rnacentral:rRNA from 1 species